rnacentral:rRNA from 1 species
GAUGAACGCUGGCGGCGUGCCUAAUACAUGCAAGUCGAGCGAACAGAUGGAGAUCUUUCCUCUCAGGCUUUAGCCGGGGGGGGGAGAGUCACGCGGGGAUCCCAUCUAUAUGAGUCUGGGAACACUUCGGGACACCGGCGCUUAUCGCGGAUAAUAUUUUGCCGCGCGUGGUUCAAUAGAAAGAGGCGUUUUUGGUGACUCUUAUAGAUAUAUCCGCGCCAUUAUCUAGUUGGUAAGGGAACGGCUUACAAAGGAAACGAUGCGUAGCCGACCUUAGAGGGUGAUCGGCCACACUGGAACUGAGACACGGUCCAGACUCCUACGGGAGGCAGCAGUAGGGAAUCUUCCGCAAGGGGCGAAAGCCUGACGGAGCAACGCCGCGUGAGUGAUGAAGGUCUUCGGAUCGUAAAACUCUGUUAUUAGGGAAGAACAAAUGUGUAAGUAACUAUGCACGUCUUGACGGUACCUAAGCAGAAAGCCACGGCUAACUACGG